UACCAGCACCCCGAGUGGUCGGGACGAUUAUUGGGCCUAAAGCAUCCGUAGCCGGUUCUGCAAGUCCCCCGUUAAAUCCAGCUGCUCAACAGAUGGGCCGCGGAGGAUACUACAGAGCUAGGAGGCAGGAGAGGCAAGCGGUACUCAGUGGGUAGGGGUAAAAUCCGUUGAUCCAUUGAAGACCACCAGUGGCGAAGGCGGCUUGCCAGAAUGCGCUCGACGGUGAGGGAGUGAAAGCUGGGGGAGCAAACCGG
rnacentral:rRNA from 1 species